rnacentral:rRNA from 1 species
GAUGAACGCUGGCGGCGUGCCUAAUACAUGCAAGUCGAGCGAACGGACGAGAAGCUUGCUUCUCUGAUGUUAGCGGCGGACGGGUGAGUAACACGUGGAUAACCUACCUAUAAGACUGGGAUAACUUCGGGAAACCGGAGCUAACACCGGAUGAUAUUUUGAACCGCAUGGUUCAAAAGUGAAAGACGGUCUUGCUGUCACUAAUAGAUGGAUCCGCGCUGCAUUAGCUAGUUGGUAAGGUAACGGCUUACCAAGGCAACGAUGCAUAGCCGACCUGAGAGGAUGAUCAGCCACACUGGAACUGAGACACGGUCCAGACUCCUACGGGAGGCAGCAGUAGGGAAUCUUCCGCAAUGGGCGAAAGCCUGACGGAGCAACGCCGCGUGAGUGAUGAAGGUCUUCGGAUCGUAAAACUCUGUUAUUAGGGAAGAACAUAUGUGUAAGUAUCUGUGCACAUCUUGACGGUACCUAAUCAGAAAGCCACGGCUAACUACGUG